AGCAGGAAGGAGGGAGAUACAGGCACUGCAAGCAGCAUCCCAAGGUAACGCAGGCGCGGAGGACGCACCAGCCCAGCCGAGAGAGCCCCAUUGCUCUGCUGCUGUGGGGUGACAAUCCAGGGAUCUCGUUCUCCCGUUCUGCAAUCUGCUAAAGCCUGGUUGCACGCCGCCUUCACCUUUCUCUGCCUCUCGACUCCCCUUGGGAAUUGCUUCUCCUCCACCUCUUCGCCACAAAAGCUGCCAGGACGAACAGGGAGCCCAAUUGCCCAGCCAGCAUGACGACAGAAGUCAAUGAAUGUAGCAUCAAAGUGCUCUGUAGGUUCCGGCCCCUGAACCAGUCGGAGAUCAUACGGGGAGAUAAAUUCAUCCCAGUUUUCCAGGGGGAUGACACCGUCAUCAUUGGGGUAAGCAAAUGCUGGGGGGGGGGGCUGGGGGAGCAGCUGCAGGGAUGCUUCUCAAAAGAAGGGGAAUCACCCCCUCCACCACUGCCCUGAGCCAGGCCUGUUCAAUAAGGUGGGUCCAUGUCCUUCAAAAUCUCCCGGAUUUCAGCAAAGCCCACCUGUAAAAUAACCAAUAGCGUAUCCAUUUGCCUAGAAAAUGGGUGCUGGUGAUUGUGACUUUAGAGUUUAUUUCAAUUGUUUGGCUGCUACUGCUCCAUCCUUCGUUCUGCAGCCUUAAAACCACUGGGUGUGGCUAGUUGAGCUGUUGGUCUGGCUACUCGGAAGAAAGGAGGGAUCCCUUGGAGCUGGAGGAAAACAGCAGCAGCAACCAUGCCUUCCCCCUCCUACACAAACCUUUGUACCCCAUGAAUUUAUUUAUGUUCCCAAAUUUUAAAACUUAAAUCCUCUGAAUCUGCCCAAAUUAUGCUGCCUCCUCUGAGGUUAUUCUCUUGAAGGGCUGCAAACUGACCGGUUGAGAUAAUCUCGUUUGAAUCCCACCAUCAUCAGUUUUAAAUCCAACCCCCACCACUACCACAGUGAAUUACGCCAUGUUAAGUUACACCAGUGCAGUAUAAGGAUGGGGGUUCAAAGUGAUGUAGGUGGCUUGCUGAGGAGUCUGUAGGUUGUUUACUCGGAACUGGCAACGCCCCUGUCCCCAUAGUCUCUGUGUUCAUCACUUGGUACAACGCUUGGCUUUUGACCUCAUGAUGCUCACUUCUUUCAGUUGCUAAAGACACCCUCCAUUUCAGGAGGGCAGGAAGUGGGAGCUGGUUCUCCUGGGAGGGUGGCUAGUGACGUUCAUGUCAGCCUCCCAUGAUGAGCCAUGGCCACGGAGGUUUUUUAAAAUAUCUAUCAGUGGUUCGGUAUCCUGUGGGAGGUGUUGCACAGUCUUGGGUAUGUGGUCAAAAGGGAGGGUGUUCAUUUUGUGGGGUGCCCAACAGAUGGCUACCUACCUCACCCAUCAUGCUUGAAGAGACUGAUCUGCUAGUGCAGUCAUGAGCAACUGACCCCAUUGAUUCUUGUCCAUAAAGUGAAAAGGGUAGGCGUAGGACCUCCCCAAGGUGACCCCAGCUGUUGAAGGCAUAUGCGGGAACUGGAAACCACUUGCCCACUCCAAGUCUGUUGCACAACUGUCUGUGGUUUCUGGGUGCCUCUCAAUCCCUCUGCUGCAGAGAAAGUUAUUAAUCUGUGCUAAUGGGACUGCCUGACUCCUCUCUCACUGCACAGGCGAAUGGAGCCCUGGGAUAUCAAGUUUAUUUUCCACCUGGGUAUCAAGGGUAUCUUCUCAUGGCUGGGCUUGGAACAAGAUGGUAUUUUGGAGAAGCCUCUUGAUUUAGUACAAUUGUGCUGCAAAGUCAUUCCUGUGGGUGUUUGAGCAGAGAUUUUCCAUGAAGCUUCUUAAAUAUCAGGGGCCUCUUUCCCCCAGUUAGCAUAGUUUAUUUCUCUUUCUCUUGACAAUUCCUGGGCUGCAGUUGCUACCUGGCCACUUCAACCCGGCUCAAACCAUUUUGAAUGGUUCCCCCACCCUGUCCACCCACCUGCUUUGUUUAAGGCCAGCCUCCACACCAGAGUGUUUAAAAUCUGCUUAUUUUAAGAGGAAUUCAGGUGUGCAAAUUAGCCACGGUUGGGUUUUUCUGCUUUUUACCCUGGGAAGCAGCAACCCUGUUCUCUUCUGCCUCUGGAACAAAGCACCAGAAAGGCACAAAAGCCGCUGCAGGGAGCAGGCAGCAGGAUGCGGUGCCGUCUUGCUUGCCUGCCUGGGCUCAGCUGCUUCGUCAUCCCUCAGAGCAGUGACAGGGAAGGAACUGCCAGCUCCUUCCUAGGAACCACUCCCCUCCAUUGUGCUUGACUGUGGUCCAUCACUGGGCAGCCCGUUUCCAUGAGGAUCCCUUCCUUCAAUGCCCUCGGAAUCUGCACUCCUUCUGCCUUGCAGUACUCCUUUCCAGACUAGAUUACACAAGCGAUCUUGUAUAAUUUGCAACCUUUGGAUGUGGUGGCGGCCGAAGCUGCUCGGUAUUUUGCAAACAAUGGCUUCUCACUGGCUCCUGGCUCCAUCACCAGCUUUGUACUUUAGGGUUCUUGUGAUGGAUGGGCUGGAAGGGAAAGUGUGGGGCGGGGGGAACGUGCCAUUCUCAUCUGGUUCAUCAGUGUUUCUUUUCCUUUUGUUUUGGCUGAACGAUUUUAUCCAUCUGGUGCCAAGGCUGGAGGUGGCUUUUGCAGGGAACCACAUCAGCUGCAUAGGGGGGAAUUGGCUGAUUAGCUGCUGCUGUUAUAACUGGAAAAUGUAUUAUGGGGAACCUGAAAGCAGCUCACAAUUUUGUGGCAUUUCCACUGACCCUAAUAUUUUCUAAUGGACCAGUAUAGCUACAUGUCUCCUCCUGCCAUCGUGUAUCAGGUCGGGGAAAACUGGCCUACAGCAUCUAGACUGGGUUGGGAAGCCUGUGGUGGUUCUUACAUUGCUGGACUAGAGCCUCCAUCUUCCUUACCAUGCUGGCUGGGCUGAUGGGAGUUGGAGUCCAACAGCAUCUGGAAGGCCACUAGUUCCCCACCCCUGACAGAACAGCUACAGUGAAAUCAUAGUUGGAAGGGACCCUGAGGGUCAUCUAGUCCAACCCCUUGUAAUGCAGGAAUCUCAACUAAAGCAUCCAUAACUGAUGGCCAUCCAACUUCUGCUGAAAACCCUCCAAGGAAAGAGGGGGCCUGCUGCUUACUUUGGAAGGGCAGCUCUGUUUCCAGAAGGAAACAUUUUGGUUUCCUGGCUUGGCCUGGCUACAUCAGCAUCCAGUGGGACACAGUCAUGAUGUGGGAAAAGAAUGCAUUCAGAUAGGUGUGUGGUGGGGAAAAGGAUUCUGGUCGGCUUUGCUAUGGUACUUUUGGUAUCUUACUCAUUUCUCUACAGCUCUUUAUAUACAAAACACUUUCACAACUCUCAUCUUGUUUAUCUUUGCAACAACCCUGUGAGGCUAGAAAGAAAAUGAGGAAUAGCGUGCCCAGCCAGAGUCUGUUAAUCGGUCCUUAUUUUAUUCAUCCUCAGAGCAGCCAUUUUAGGUAGGUUGCUUAAUAGGCCCUUAGACAGGCAACUAAGGGUGAGCUGAGAGCAAGAGUGUACUAGCAAGAGUGUGACUAAGCCAGCAAGAGGUACCCAGUCUGCAGGUGGAACUACACAUACGCACAAGGUUCAGUGUAAAGAUACUUGAAGAAGUCAGUCUUUGCAAAUCCCUGCACAAACAUCCUGAGCAUGGAUUGGAGCUUACCUCUCCAAGAGACCUUUGUCUGUGUGGUAGGAUCACUUGAAGACCCUUCCACUGUGAAACAGAUGCCAGUCUUCCACUUUGUCCCUUUAAUGGCAUUCUUUGUGCACUCAUUGAUGUAACUGCCUAAAUCCUAUACUUCAGAUUGCUUCGUGUUACAGAGAGAGAGACCCUAACCUGGUGUGGAGUUAGCUAGGGAACAAAACCUCUGUAAUCAAAAUGGCAGGGCAUUGACCAGCCUAUGAGCCCAUUUAAUGACCCUAGAUCAUUAGUUUUCAACCAGUGUGCUGUGGCACCCUGGGGUGCCUUGAAUGAUGGUCACGGGUGCCACAGGCAACACUGGCCUCUGUCCCUCUUUCUUUCUUUCUCUCCCUCCUCUGAUGCCCUCUUGCGUCUCUGCUUCCCAAAGUCUUGCACAGCUGUUCGUUGCAGCAGCCCUGGCUACAAGCUCCCCAGGCCAAUAGUGCCUCUGGGGCUGGCCAGGGGGUGCUUCCCAGGCCCUUGUGGGGCAAUGUGAGGAGGCACCUCUCUCUGGGGGCAGGGUGGAAGCUCAGAGACCAGGGGCAGCAGCUGUGGCUGCCCAGACUGCAAAGGAGAGGGGGGCAGAGAGGAGGCUGAGGGAACACUCCACAAGGGAUGGUGUUUGAAAAGAGGUGAGGGGCUGCCAGCUCUGCAGGCAAGGGGUGACAUAACUGGGCUCCUGAGCCCCACAGGGGUGCCCCAGAAAGAAUGUAGUUGGUCAAGGGAUGAAUGGACUCAAGAAGGUUGAAAACCUCUGCCCUAGAUCUGGGGAUGGGGAUGUGCUUUUGCAAUCACAAGAUUUCAGUAUAAGUAUGGCCUACUUCUCACAGGGCUAGUAAGCUUACAUCUGGGCCAUGUCAUUGUAGCCUACAGGUGGGAGGGUUCUUUAAUUUUAAUUUUAUUUCAACGUCUGUAUCUUGCCUUUCUAUUUAAAAAAUAAAAUAAAAUUGAAGGCAGCAAACAAAACACACAAAGUAAAAUAAUUACCCAGAAUCAUUACAACUCACAGUAAAACAGCAU